rnacentral:tRNA from 1 species
GACCCCAUAGUCUAGUGGUGAGGACUCGAGGUUUUCAUCCUCGCAGCAGGGGUUCAAUUCCCCUUGGGGUCGCCA